UACAGAGGUGGCAAGCGUUGUUCGGAAUUACUGGGCGUAAAGGGCGCGUAGGCGGUUCGAUAAGUCCCGUGUGAAAUCCCUCGGCUCAACUGAGGAAUGGCACGGGAAACUGACGGGCUUGAGUUCGGGAGAGGGAAGCGGAAUUCCGGGUGUAGCGGUGAAAUGCGUAGAUAUCCGGAGGAACACCGGUGGCGAAGGCGGCUUCCUGGACCGACACUGACGCUGAGACGCGAAAGCGUGGGGAGCGAACAGG
rnacentral:rRNA from 1 species